UAGCUUUGUAGCAGCAAAUAAUAAUAAUUGUAGAAAUCAUUUUAGUUUUUAGCCAGCGGCAUUUUUUUGUCUGAUUGUUGCGGCCAUUCUAUUGAUUUGUGUUUUUAAUCAAGCAUCUUAUUGUUUGAUUUUUACAGAUAGAUUUAUAGCACACAUGUUGUUGGUCAUAUUUAAAAAAUUUUACACAGUAUUUACAGCGUUUAUUAUUUGCUGUUUUCAUUUAUUUAAUACACAUGCCGCCCAUGUCCUGCCAAUCUUUUGUCCGCCCUCACAUUUGACCGUAAAUGCUGCUAAGCUGCAAAACAAUUAUUUAACUGAAUGGUCGGACUGAAAAGUGUUUUAUGCUGUCAGUCGGGCAGCAUGUCCUGCGUGGGUCUGCAGAACAACAGGAAUCAGGACAAACAUUUUAAAUGAAAAUCAACACAAAAUACAAUGGAGUGUUUAUAAGCCCGGCUGUUGUUUGUCCGCUGUUGACACUGAGUACAUAAAACAACAACCAAUCUUAGUGUUCAAAUUAAAAUAAUAUUUAUUGAGUAUACAGCUUAAGAUAUAUUUAGAAUAUCACUUCAGCUAAUACCUAUUAUUUUCAAACAGAGUCCUUUUGAAGAAUACUGUUGCCCAAAAACGAUUCUUUUUUAAAGUCAACCUUUUCUGAUGAUUUUUGAAUAAUGUCGGACAAAUAAUGUUAGAUUUUGGGAUCAUAUAAACCAUUUUGGACUCGUAAGGAUCAUCACUAUCGAUUGACAUUGAAAUCUAAUUUUUGACCCAAAUCGAUAAAAAUGAAAGGACAUUACAUCGACCAUCUUAAGGACCAUUCUGAUGUCCUUUGGACAACACGUAGUCCUUGUCCUGCCAACUAAGAAUAUGUAAUAAAAAGGACGAAAAUCCUCCAAGGAGCUGAGGAAAGCAGAUGUUUUGUCGGGAGAGAUAAAUCGCUGUAGCCCGGCCGUAUCCUUGCCAAUCAUGAUGCCCAUUGGCCAACCAUCCUGACAAGUCGUGUGUCAAGCAAAUCGUAUAAACAAGGACCAUAAACUGUCCAAAGGACAACAAAAUCGUCCUUGCCGUUUCCGAUAUAUGGCUAAUUUUCUAAAAAGGACAUUUUUUAAUUGGCCACAACUUGGCCAAAUCCUUAAGGAUAUCGGAAGGAUAUGCAUUUUUAAACUCGUGACUCACAAAUUAAGGACUACAAUGAGCUCUAAGGACCUCCACGACUGAUAAAGCAUAUUUUCCCAGGAUCGGAAUUUAUUUAAUCCAGAUAUAGUUAUUUUAAGUUUAAAUAAACUAAAUUUUG